GCGCGUUGCCAGUAUCUGUGCAUAUCAUACAGGGCAUUUUAUGCUCUGUAAUUGGAAUGAUGGGAAUGUAAAACCCUUCCAGAGUAACAAUUGGAGGGCAAGUCUGGUGCCAGCAGCCGCGGUAAUUCCAGCUCCAAUAGUGUAUAUUAGAGUUGUUGCAGUUAAAAAGCUCGUAGUUGGAUUUCUGCUGUGGUCAUCCGGUACCGCCCGUAUGGGUGCGCACCUGGUUUGGCUGCGGCUUUCUUCCUGUAGCCGUCCGCGCUUAAUUGCGUGCGUUGUGUUACGGAACUUUUACUUUGAGAAAAAUAGAGUGUUUCAAGCAGGCUUGUCGCCCUGAAUACUUCAGCAUGGAAUAAUAGGAUAGGACCUUGGUUCUAUUUUGUUGGUUUCUAGGACCAAGGUAAUGAUUAAUAGGGACAGUGGGGGGCAU
rnacentral:rRNA from 1 species